CGAAAAUGAAUAUUUAUGACAUGGCUAUUUUGAUUGCAGCCCAGAUAAGUCAAAGGAUCGAGAAACGUACUAAUACAAAGUAUUCAUAACUCAACAAUGGAUUUUGAUAUAUUAAAAUAUUUACUCAAUGCCCUUUUUGAUUAUUUAACUCUUAAUUUUCCAAAUACAAGAUACUGAAUUAAAGUCUCCGGCCCACACUAUUGCCUGCCACAUAAGAGGAAAUUGAAUAAUAGAAAUAAAUACAACUUUAUGUGUUUUGACAAAAAUGUCUACAACGCGUGUUUUUGGAAUAUUAGAAGUUCCCACACGAUGCAUUUCCAUCUUCAUAAAUACAUUUAAAAUUGCCAUUCUUAUAAGUUUGUGCAAAUUCCUUUCAUUAUCGCAAAAUAAUAUUGUUUCACAUUCAUGAUGCCAACUUUUGUAGAGUAUUCAAGACUCUUAACAUAUCUAAAGUUUACAAAGAUAUCAAACUUCUCCUUAACCUCCGAACAUUUGAAAUACCUAUAAUUAACCUCAUUUUUUCAUCAAACAUUUUUACUUUUAUAGUACUUAUACCUUUGGCUUCACAUUCUCAUCAUUAGCAAAAAAAAAAAUAACACAGAAUCACAUGAUUUCAUGAAUGAAACCACCCAGUAUGCACAAAACAUAAAGUAUGAAGAUCUAGAAUCGAAAAUUUCAAACUCAAAUGAAGUUUCAUUAUUUAAAUAAAGUAAAGAUCUAUGUCAUGAUCAUUGCUGUUGUUACCAACAUUCGCAGACUCUAAACCCUUUUUUAUCCAAGAUACUUCAUUAGUUCUUCAAAAUUUUAUCCAAGCCCUUUUUUUAAUUUUGAUUUUUUCAAAACCAUUUUUCAUCAAAUUUGUUUUUUUCAAUCACUCGUUCUCCCAAUAAAAUAAUUUUGUAAGUAGAUCCACUACUUUUUCCUACUUUUUAAGUACAUAUUAUCCAAAAAAUAACUUUUACAAAACCAUUUCUCAAAAUAUCAAAAUCAAACGAGGGUCUAGAUAUGCACCUUUUGUGAAAUGGAUGCUAACAAUAAUACUUCCUAUCGUAAAUAUGUCCUAGUAAUUUGCGUUUGUCACGUCCAAUCUCAGGUUUUGCAAAGACAAAUUGGCCAUUGUGUGAACUUGACUUCUUGAUCUUGGUUUUCUUAAAAAGAGUAGUAGAAACUUGAUUCUCCAUCAAAAGUAGAAUUUUCAACUAGUACUGAGUCAUCGACUUGGUUAGGAGGCUAUCUAGAUUAUUGUUUUUAUUUAUCCUCUAUCUUGGCAUCAAAAAUCAGUAGUCUAGAUAUGUAUUUUAUAAAUUUAGUGCUUGUUCAAGAGAUAUAAUAAUUUGUUGAUAUUAUAAAUUGAAAGAAAUGAAUGACAAAUAAAUGAGUAUUAGCUGUGGAUUCUAAGAAAUGUGUAAUUAAAAUUAAAAUUUAACUUUAAAUUUUAAAUUUUUUUAUUUCAUUGUAAUUUAAAAUGAGGAGGCACUUAAACAAUUAUUAAGGUUAUUAAAGUUAUUGUAAUUAUGAAAUCUGUACUGAAAAUUAGUAAGAUUAAACCUGACAUAAGUUUUGUAUUCCAUCUUCAACUCAUACAAUUAUUUUUUAGUAUGUUCUACUAAUUUGGGACUUAGCAUUCCAUAAUUAAAAAGGACAAGUGAUGAAUUAAGUCCAAAAUACACCUUCAUCUAAGCGUAUAUUCGAAACUUCUAUUAGAAAAUUUUUCAGACACUCAUUCAUUUUUUACUAUAUUUGGUCGGCGAGGAACAAGAGAAUUUUUUAGCAUCUUAGACCACAAGUUGAUUGCAUUGUUAGACAAAUUAAAACACACUAUACAAAAUUAUGUCGUCUUCGUAUCCGCGUGUUUUGAUUCAAUUUUAGUCAUUUGCGUUGUGUUCAUAGCUAUUAUUGUUUUAUACAUCUUUUCAUUUUGAUUGUCCGAGCAUGUUCAGGGUACUUGUAAUCGUCAUUUAAUCUUUGUUUGUCCAAGUAUGUCCAUUAUACUUGUAUAUGAGUUUUGAUUAAUAGAAUUUACAUUUACCAUUCCAGGAAAAAAAGGGGGUGGUUUUAACAUUCCUUUUGCCCUUUUUUCCAUUUUGCACUAAAUUGGUGUUAAGAGUAUUUGUGUUCAAUUUUUUGUUAUACAAGAAAUUUUAAUUUAUUAAUAAUAAAAAUAUUAUUAUUGUUGUUGUUGUUGUUAUUGUUAUUGUUGUUAUUAUUAUUAUUAUUUAAUACUAUGAUAUGUACAUUUGCAAUAAACUUUAAUCUUAUAGUCAAUAAUAAUCAAGAAAUGGAUUAAAGUAUAGUACUCAAAAAGUUUUAAAAUUGUUAACGAAACAUAAUUAAUUAAUAUUUUCGUUAACGAAUUCAAUAUUUUCGUUAAUGAAUUCUAUAUUUAAUAUUCUUGUUAUACAAUAAUAAUCAAGGAAUGAAUUCAAUUUUUUCGUUAACGAAAUGUAAUUUUUAUUUAAUAAUAUAUGCAUAAAUUAAAUAAAUAAAUAAUUUUUUAGAUAAAUAAAUUGUUUAGAAUGAACAAAAUGAAGGUAAAUGAUGUGCAUUUGGUUCGACUUUUGAUGCAACGGUUUGAAGAUAACUUUUAAUUUGGUACAAGAAUUGGUGUAAAAUAGUGCAAAAUUUACCUUAAAUUUUGGUGCACAACCUAAAUACCUGGUCUAGCACGAACAAGGGAGGAUGAAGCCCGCUUGAGCAAGGCAACUACUGAAAGCUUCUAUCUCUCGUUAGAGCAAGGAGAUCAUCACUAGCACGAACAAGGGAGGAUGAAGCCCGCUUGAGCAAGGCAACUACUGAAAGCUUCUAUCUCUCGUUAGAGCAAGGAGAUCAUCACUUGAGCGAGGAUGAACAGACACCACGUCAUUUGAUGUCUAUUCUGGUGAAACAGAUGUGUUUGUUCUUUAAUUUCAGCUGCUAAAUCACAUAUUUAUAAAUACUAAUCAAAGUACUUUAGUUACUCCGUUUAAUAA
rnacentral:lncRNA from 1 species